GAAAUAUGUCUGAUAAAAGAGUUACUUUGAUAGAGUAAAAAAUAGAGGUUAAAAUCCUCUUAUUUCUA
rnacentral:tRNA from 1 species